GGAAUAUUGCACAAUGGGGGAAACCCUGAUGCAGCGACGCCGCGUUAGUGAAGAAGAAUUUCGGUAUGUAAAGCACUAUCAGCAGGGAAGAAAAUGACGGUACCUGACUAAGAAGCUCCGGCUAACUAUGUGCCAGCAGCCGCGGUAAUACGUAGGGGGCAAGCGCUAUCCGGAUUUACUGGGUGUAAAGGGAGCGUAGACGGCAGCGCAAGUCUGGAGUGAAAUCCCAUGGCUUAACCAUGGAACUGCUUUGGAAACUGUGCAGCUAGAGUGCAGGAGAGGUAAGCGGAAUUCCUAGUGUAGCGGUGAAAUGCGUAGAUAUUAGGAGGAACACCAGUGGCGAAGGCGGCUUACUGGACUGUAACUGACGUUGAGGCUCGAAAGCGUGGGGAGCAAAC
rnacentral:rRNA from 1 species